rnacentral:rRNA from 1 species
AUUGAACGCUGGCGGCAUGCCUUACGCAUGCAAGUCGAGCGGCAGCACGGGAGCAAUCCUGGUGGCGAGUGCGAACGGGUGAGUAAAGUAUCGGAACGUGCCCAGUCGUGGGGGAUAACGUAGCGAAAGUUACGCUAAUACCGCAUACGAUCCAUGGAUGAAAGCGGGGGAUCGCAAGACCUCGCGCGAUUGGAGCGGCCGAUAUCAGAUUAGGUAGUUGGGGGGGUAAAGGCUCACCAAGCCGACGAUCUGUAGCUGGUCUGAGAGGACGACCAGCCCAAAUGGGACUGAGACACGGCCCAGACUCCUACGGGAGGCAGAAGUGGGGAAUUUUGGACAAGGGGCGCAAGCCUGAUCCAGCCAUGCCGCGUGCAGGAUGAAGGCCUUCGGGUUGUAAACUGCUUUUGUACGGAACGAAAAGGUUUGGCUUAAUACGUUGAAUUCAUGACGGUACCGUAAGAAUAAGCACCGGCUAACUACGUGCCAGCCGCCGCGGUAA